UCGGCGGACGGAUCGCGGGCACCCAGAGACCGUGCUUGUCGAGCGCGGCGGCGAUUUCCAGCGUUUCGUCGUUGCCGCCGAUC
rnacentral:tRNA from 1 species